GGGAGGGCAAGAUGGUUGGGAGACGUAGAUAGGAGGAGAGAGAGGGAGAGUGGGAGGGGGGAAAGCACCACAUGUGGGAGGGGUGGAGGAGCAAGAAUGGCAGAAAUCCACUCCUGCCGGCGCAGCCGCAGUGCUCGCCGCCGCACGCCAUACUAGGAUUCACUACAGUAUCUGAGCCGUCCGUACUGUAUGUCGGGAGAAAAGGGAAGUUCACAACCAUUUUGCUCUCAAAACUCACAUAUGCACCAGCUUUUACUAUGAUUCACCUCAUUAGCAGUGUAGUCGUGCAGCAAACGGGCCUGGACGCCGCUUUAAAGGCAGUAACAAGUGGCCGCGGAACGCCACACUCCAAGCGAGCCGGCGCUCAACCCCUGCAGUUAAGUUUGGCACAAAGUCAAAACAUCGAUGAAGUGGUGCUCCGCCAUGCUGAAACUUUCAGGAAAACAUUUCUGGAGGAAAUGUUUAAAGGAGGGGGUGAAAGACAACACCACCAACGAAGAAGAAGUGGAGGGGGAGACCCGAGCAGCACAACUGCUUCCUCCAUCUUAGACUGUAUUGAUUAUUCCCUGCUCUCCGCUCAUGCCAGCUCUCUCUUUCUCUCCCCGUCUGUCCCUCCCUCCCUCCGUCUUUCUGUCUGUCUGUUCCGCCACCUUCUCCGCUCAGCCAUCAGCAUUUUUCCAUUUGUGGCAGAUUACUGUAACGCCAUUGUACAACAACUUCCUGCCUCCUUCUGGCUCCCGGCUCUCCAAAACUGCAACCGCACGGCGACAAACUUUUCUCUCCCCCCUUUCCUCGGCCUUGAACUGGAGGAGCGCCGCUGUGGAAUAAAAAAAAAAAAAAAAAACCCAGAAGGAAGGAGGACGUAGAGGAACUAUUUCAGUGUCAUUUCUGCGAGCUGUAAGCGGCUAAAGAGGACAACAUGCUUAGCAGGGACAAAAAAAAAGGAGCAAAGAUGAGGAGGAAAAAGAGCCGGGAAGAGCCCGUCCUGGGAAUGAGCUGGAAAUGAUGGACCUAUUUGAUAUCAGACUUCAGAGUGGACAACCUACCCUAGGAGGGACGCGCCCUAACUGCAGCUAACAACUUGCCUGCUGGCAUCCCCUCAGCACAUUGUCCUGGAUCUGGGCCUUGCAUGUGACAGCUCUGAAGUGGAAUGUUUUCAUGCAGAAAAAGAUGAAACGCUAACAGGAUGGACACCUAAGUUAAGCCGUACUUUUUGGCACAAUUAUAUAGAAAUCUUCAAGAGUUUGAAGUUCGAUGCAGUAAAUAUAUUUGUAUUCCUAGAAAAUUCUUUGCACAGAUUUUUUUUUUGUUUUUUAAAUAAACAUUGCUCUGACAAUCUAAAUCGACAGUUGCCUUAUAUAUAUUUUUUAUUUAUAUGGAGCAUAAUAAAUCAUCUAAAGCAGCUCAGAAGUGCUAAGAAAGUUUAAUUUAAUUUGAUUAAAAUAAAGUAUAAGUGCUAGGACAACACGACACAUUUUAGGAAAUCAGCUACUGUUUUGUGCUGUUUUACGAGCCACGUCACAGCGCCUGUGUCUGUGCAGCAGGGCCGCGAGGAGUCCAGCAGCAGAACCGUACGCACCCGGAGGCUGGCUGCCGAAGCACACACUGCCAGUUUGUCAUCUCUCUGAUCAGCACCAACAACAAACCGAGCCCCUGAAACACUUGAUCCGUUUUAAAGAAUCCCCUUUUGCCAAAAUCAGACUUCUGCAGAAACCGAAGACUGGUCAAUCACAUCUCAGUUUAGCAACGAGUCGUGGUAUCUGCGCCCAAGACAAAAAUUGCUGCACCUUUUUAAAGGAGAGCAUUGGCCUGUCACAAAUGUAAGAGUGGCAUUGGUUAGAAAGGCUCUGAUUAGGUCAAUUCUUCUUCUUUUUUUAUGAUUACAGACUGUAACCCAUGUGCAUAAUGUUAUUAGCAGAAGGUCAAUGUCGGAGAAAAACAGCUUUUUUUCCCCCCAAAACGGCUACAUCAGCGGCGGUUCUUUUCCGUGGAUCACUUUAGGAAAUUAAGUGGCUCUUCGGAGUCCUGAAAAUAUAUAUUCUUUUAAAAGAGCAAAAAUAAUUGGUGCAUUUGGAAGCCAGAAGUGAGUGCAGUCAGAACUCGGUGGAGUCAGAGAGUGUAUGCUACACAUUUUAUUAUUUAAAUUCUAUUAACUAAACACUGUUUUCUUUGAGUAGUGAACAUUUUUCAGCACCAAUAAGAGGCUCACAUAAAAGUGUUUUUUUUAAUGUUUUUUUUAUUUUACAAAUCUCAAAAUCUUCCUAGAAAAGCAAUAAAUAAUCAUAUCCCUCGCCAUCCUAAUACUUUUGAGUCAGCAGCAAAAACACCUGAGGAUUUUAAAUAAUGAGGUAAUUUUUAAUACAACUUCCCGAACUGCUUCUAUAGUCUACUUUGUUGUAGGUGGAAUAAAUUCAAUAUUUUUAAACCUUGUUUUCUUUCUGCCUAACGUGAAAAAAUAAACUCCAUUCAGUGACAACAGUAUGGUAAUAUGGUAAAUCAUAGUGUUCACCUCACACUUAAAAGCCUUUGUGUGCCUUAUAAUCUGGAACGUUUUACAUAUUAAUUAAUUGUAGUUAUAUUUACAGAUCUUGGAGUGAUUUUAUGAGGUACAUGGUGCUCUGAACAAUGUUAGUUUUUUAUGAGUUGUAAAUAAGGUUGGAUGUUAUUCUACGCUAAUGUGGCUAACGUGUAGCAGUGUCGGAUUAUCAUAUAGCUUCCAUUUGUGGCCGGUCUCCAAUAAACGCUGGGUCCAACAGGUGUUCAUUACUUUAGAUGCCGCUCUUUAAUACAGAAUGGUGGCUGAGACAUUUUUGGACUAAACUCUGGAGUUACUAUUGGAAGAUAUAUGGGAUGGUUAAGCGUUACUAACAAGUUUGGGGGUUAGUGUAGUCGCAGGAAAGUUUGUUUUAGUAUCAGUCUGUUCUUUUAUGUGUUGCUAAGAAGGUUGGGAGUUAAUUGUGUUGGGAAUUAGCUACCGCAGCUAGCAUGUAGCAGUGUCGGACUGUUUUUUUUUUAUGUGUUACGAACAAAGUUGGGAGUUACUUGUGUUGUGAAUUAGCUACCACAGCUAGCAUGUAGUCGUGCCGGGCUGUUUUUUAUAUGUUAGUAACAAAGUUGAAUGAAUGAAUGAAAUGGUUUAUUUCAAGCAAUCAGGAAUAAUACAUGAAAAAAAUGACACUGAAUUACAUCUAGAUCGCUUGAAAGGAAGUGGGAGGAAGUGAACUUAUAUAAUCCCACCCCGGCUCGACCAUUUUCUCUACAUGAAUUAUCAAUAUCCGGUUCAGGACUUAAUGUCAAAUAUUUAUACUCUAAAAUAACAGAUUUAAGACCCGGAACCGGAAGUCUUUUCCGACUUUAGAAGCUAGUAAGUAGUCGUGUCAGGCUGGGUUUUUUUGUGUUACCAAAAAGGUUGAGAGUUAGUGUAGUUACAGUGACGUUUUUUUUUUGUUUUGUUUGUUUGUUUGGUUUUUUUUAUGUUUUAUGCAUACAAGGUUGGGAGUAAUUUGUGUUGGGAAUUAGCUACCACGGCUAGCAUGUAGCAGCGUCAGACUGCGUUUUUUACGGAUUACUAACUAGGUUGGGAGUAGGUGUAGUUAUUUUAACAGUAUCAGUCUUUUAUUUUUGCAUGUUGCAAACAAGGUUAGGUGUUAAUUUAAAUAUGCUAACCUUUAGCUGUGUGAGACUGUGUUUUUUUUAAAUGCUAAUAACAAGUUUGCGUGUUAGCAUAGUUAUGGUAAUAUUUGUUUUAAUGCCAUCAGUCUGUUUUUAUGUGUUGCAAACAAGGAUGGAAGUUAUUGUGAAUACUCUUAACGUUGCUAAUGUUACAAACAAGUUCUAGAGUUGCUGUGAAUGCAGUUAAUAAGUCUGACUGACUGAUUUA